GACGAGCGCAGUGGCGCGUGCCGGUAGUCCCAGCUACUCGGGAGGCUGAGGCUGGAGGAUCGCUUGAGUCCAGGAGUUCUGGGCUGUAGUGCGCUAUGCCGAUCGGGUGUCCGCACUAAGUUCAGCAUCAAUAUGGUGACCUCCUGGAAGCGCGGGACCACCAGGUUGCCUAAGGAGGAGUGAAUCAGCCCAGGUCGGAAACAGAGCAUGUCAAAACUCCCUUGCUGAUCAGUAGUGGGAUGGCGCCUGUGAAUAGCCUCUGCACUCCAGCCUGGGCAGCACAGCGAGACCCUGUCUCUA
ensembl:misc_RNA Metazoa_SRP Metazoan signal recognition particle RNA